UAUUAAGCCUUUAAUCAUUAUAUCUGGACAAGGAAAUUAAUGGCCAAGAUGCAUUUUGCUCGAUGUGUUAUUUGAUAUGUGGGAUGACUUGGCCAAAGUGUCCUUUGUCCAGUGUACUGCCGAUCAGGGGCUAUUGUUUGAUCCCCUGUCCAGUGCUAUAUUUAGGGGACAGCACGUGUGCCUGAUUAGCGAGGGACGGCUGCUCAUCUAUUACUGACCUCCCUCCCGCUGUCACUCUGACGAACAUUUCCCAAAGACAAUGGCAUCUCAUCGACCAGCGACAGUGUUCAAUUUCUUAAUUGCUUACUGAGAGGGGCCAGCUGGGCUUCUGAUAUUCUACCCUGGAUAUACUUCCCCGUCGUAUCACAAUGGCAUCUCAUCGACCAGCGACAGUGUUCAAUUUCUUAAUUGCUUACUGAGAGGGGCCAGCUGGGCUUCUGAUAUUCUACCCUGGAUACAU